rnacentral:rRNA from 1 species
GAUGAACGCUGGCGGCGUGCCUAAUACAUGCAAGUCGAGCGAACGGACGAGAAGCUUGCUUCUCUGAUGUUAGCGGCGGACGGGUGAGUAACACGUGGAUAACCUACCUAUAAGACUGGGAUAACUUCGGGAAACCGGAGCUAAUACCGGAUAAUAUUUUGAACCGCAUGGUUCAAAAGUGAAAGACGGUCUUGCUGUUACUUAUAGAUGGAUCCGCGCUGCAUUAGCUAGUUGGUAAGGUAACGGCUUACCAAGGCAACGAUGCAUAGCCGACCUGCGAGGGUGAUCGGCCACACUGGAACGGAGACACGGUCCAGACUCCUACGGGAGGCAGCAGUAGGGAAUCUUCCGCAAUGGGCGAAAGCCUGACGGAGCAACGCCGCGUGAGUGAUGAAGGUCUUCGGAUCGUAAAACUCUGUUAUUAGGGAAGAACAUAUGUGUAAGUAACUGUGCACAUCUUGACGGUACCUAAUCAGAAAGCCACGGCUAACUACGUG